rnacentral:rRNA from 1 species
GUCCCUGUGAGCCGGUCCGCCUUAUUGGUGUGUACUUGCUUUGCGGGGACUUACCUCCUGGUGAACUGCCAUGUCCUUUACUGGGUGUGGUAGCGAACCAGGACGUUUACUUUGAAAAAAUUAGAGUGUUCAAAGCAGGCCUACGCCCGAAUACAUUAGCAUGGAAUAAUAGAAUAGGAC